GGUCCCAUAGCUCAGUUGGUUAGAGCACCUGACUCAUAAUCAGGGGGUCCAUGGUUCGAGCCCAUGUGGGACCA
rnacentral:tRNA from 2 species